GACGAACCGUCCGAACGUUAUUCGGAAUCACUGGGCUUACAGAGUUCGUAGGCGGUCUGGAAAGUUGGGUGUGAAAUCCCUCGGCUCAACCGAGGAACUGCGCUUGAAACUACCAGACUCGAGGGAGAUAGAGGAAAGCGGAACUGAUGGUGGAGCGGUGAAAUGCGUUGAUAUCAUCAGGAACACCGGUGGCGAAGGCGGCUUUCUGGGUCUUACCUGACGCUGAGGAACGAAAGCUAGGGGAGCGAA
rnacentral:rRNA from 1 species